rnacentral:rRNA from 1 species
GACGAACGCUGGCGGCGUGCUUAACACAUGCAAGUCGACAUGAGUGGCGAUCGGGUGAGUAAUACGUGGGUCACCUGCCCUCCUUUUUGGGAUAAGACUCGGAAACGGGGUCUACUACCUAACAAAGGGGGAUGGGCGCGUGGCCUGUCAGCUUGUUGGUGGGGUGAUGGCCUACCAAGGCGGUGACGGGUAGCGGGCCUGAGCGGGUGACCGGGCACAUGGGGACGGUCAGACGGCCCACGUGCGGACGGGGGGGAGCAGUGGGGGAAAUGGCACAAUGGGUGAUGGCCUGAUGCCGCGUGGCCGCGUGGGGGUUGCAGGUUUUAGGGUUGUAAACCUCUUUCGCUAUCGAAUGGGUAGGUGGAGAAGAAGCGCCGGCUAACUACGUGCCAGCAGCCGCGGUAAUUC